rnacentral:rRNA from 1 species
GCGCACAGCGAUAGCACGUUGAAUGCUCCAGUUGCCCAUGGAUCACUGAAGGCAACGUUGCGCGUGGUCAGUAUCCGGAUGGAUGAGAAUCCGGAUAAUCGUGUGCUGCCGGCU